GUAUAAUUAUCCACAUCUCCUGCUUCUGGCAUGUCUGCACAAAUACCUUCCCGUAAUAAUAGUAGUAGUGUGUACUGAGCACACAGAAUUAUUAAGUAUAUUUAAGGCGGGUGUUUAAAAUUUGUUCAUAUUAUGUACCCAGUAGAACAAUGCAAGCGUGUUAGAAAUGCUAUUACUGGAAAAUGGCUAAACAAUCUAGUUAAU